rnacentral:rRNA from 1 species
UACCAGCUCUCCGAGUGGUAGGGAUGAUUAUUGGGCUUAAAGCGUCCGUAGCCGGCUUAGCAAGUCUCCUGUUAAAUUCAGCGACCUAAUCGUUGAGCCGCGGGAGAUACUACUAGGCUAGGAGGCGGGAGAGGUCAACGGUACUUCCGGGGUAGGGGUGAAAUCCUAUAAUCCCGGGAGGACCACCAGUGGCGAAGGCUGUUGACUAGAACGCGCUCGACGGUGAGGGACGAAAGCUGGGGGAGCGAACCGGAUUAGAUACCCGGGUAGUCCCAGCUGUAAACGAUGCGAGCUAGGUGUUGGGGUGGCUACGUGCCACUUCAGUGCCGCAGGGAAGCCAUUAAGCUCGCCACCGUGGGGGGUACGUCGCAAGGCUGAAACUUAAAGGAUUGGGCGGGGGAGCACCACAAGGCGUGAAGCUUGCGGUUC